rnacentral:rRNA from 1 species
UGGGGAAUAUUGCACAAUGGGCGAAAGCCUGAUGCAGCGACGCCGCGUGAGGGAUGACGGCCUUCGGGUUGUAAACCUCUUUCAGUAGGGACGAAGCGCAAGUGACGGUACCUGCAGAAGAAGCACCGGCUAACUACGUGCCAGCAGCCGCGGUAAUACGUAGGGUGCGAGCGUUGUCCGGAAUUACUGGGCGUAAAGAGCUCGUAGGCGGUUUGUCACGUCGUCUGUUAAAUCCUAGGGCUUAACCCUGGACGUGCAGGCGAUACGGGCUGACUUGAGUACUACAGGGGAGACUGGAAUUUCUGGUGUAGCGGUGGAAUGCACAGAUAUCAGGAAGAACACCGAUGGCGAAGGCAGGUCUCUGGGUAGUAACUGACGCUGAGGAGCGAAAGCAUGGGUAGCGAACAGG